rnacentral:rRNA from 1 species
UAGGGAAUAUUGGACAAUGGGGGCAACCCUGAUCCAGCCAUGCCGCGUGAGUGAAGAAGGCCCUCGGGUUGUAAAGCUCUUUUGUCCGGAAAGAAAAGCAUUCGGUGAAUACCCGGAUGUUCUGACGGUACCGGAAGAAUAAGCACCGGCUAACUUCGUGCCAGCAGCCGCGGUAAUACGAAGGGUGCAAGCGUUACUCGGAAUUACUGGGCGUAAAGCGUGCGUAGGUGGUUGUUUAAGUCUGAUGUGAAAGCCCUGGGCUCAACCUGGGAAUGGCGUUGGAAACUGGGCAGCUAGAGUGCGGUAGAGGGUAGUGGAAUUCCCGGUGGAGCAGUGAAAUGCGUAGAGAUCGGGAGGAACAUCUGUGGCGAAGGCGACUGCCUGGACCAGCACUGACACUGAGGCACGAAAGCGUGG